CCUACGGGAGGCAGCAGUGGGGAAUAUUGCACAAUGGGGGAAACCCUGAUGCAGCGACGCCGCGUGAAGGAAGAAGUAUUUCGGUAUGUAAACUCCUAUCAGCCGGGAAGAAAAUGACGGUACCUGACUAAGAAGCCCCGGCCAACUACGUGCCAGCAGCCGGGGUAAUACGUAGGGGGCCAGCGUGAUCCGGAUUUACGGGGGGUAAAGGGAGCGUAUGCGGUUUAGCAAGUCAGAAGUGAAAGCCCGGGGCUCAACUCCGGGACUGCUUUUGAAACUGUUGAACUAGAUUGCAGGAGAGGUAAGUGGAAUGCGUGGUGUAGCGGUGAAAUGCGUAGAUAUUAGGAGGAACACCAGUGGCGAAGGCAGCUUACUGGACUGUAAAUGACGCUGAGGCUCGAAAGCGUGGGGAGCAAACAGGAUUAGAUACCCUGGUAGUC
rnacentral:rRNA from 1 species